rnacentral:rRNA from 1 species
UUCCUGGUGUCUCUAGCGCUUUGGAACCACUUCGAUUCCAUCCCGAACUCGAUUGUGAAACUUUGCUGCGGCUAAGAUACUUGCUGGGUUGCUGGCUGGGAAAAUAGCUCGAUGCCAGGAUU